CUCAUAGCGUAUAUUAAGUUGUUGCAGUUAGAACGCUCGUAGUCGGAUUUCGGGGCGGGCCGACCGGUCUGCCGAUGGGUAUGCACUGGCCGGCGCGUCCUUCCUUCCGGAGACCGUGCCUACUCUUAACUGAGCGGGGGCGGGAGACGGGACUUUUACUUUGAAAAAAUCAGAGUGUUUCAAGCAGGCAGCUCGCUCUUGCAUGGAUUAGCAUGGGAUAAUGAAAUAGGACUUUGGUGCUAUUUUGUUGGUUUCGAACACCGAAGUAAUGAUGAGAAGGGACAGUCAGGGGCACUCGUAUUUUGCCGAGAGAGGUGAAAUUCUCAGACCAGCGAAAGACGAACCACUGCGAAAGCAUUUGCCAGGGAUGUUUUCACUGAUCAAGAACGAAAGUUAGGGGAUCGAAGACGAUCAGAUACCGUCGUAGUCUUAACCAUAAACCAUGCCGACUAGGGAUUCGACGAUGUUCACUUAUUGACUUGUUGAGCACCU
rnacentral:rRNA from 1 species